ACAGUUUCCGUAGGUGAACCUGCGGAAGGAUCAUUGCACACACAAGUUGCAGCCAACCCGCGGCGAACGAACACAUUGUCCCCCUCGGUGGGUCGUGGCGCCUCGCGGCGUCGCGGCCGGCCAACUCCNUUCGUCGCGCUCCGCGCGCGGCGUCGGGUUUCCACGCGAUGCCUUCACCUUGACCGAACGACUGAGUCCCUCACUACUUCGAGAGUGACGAGUUCCCUCCCCCUUGGCUUGGCUUGGCUUGCUUGCUUGCGAAUCGAAGGGGGUCGGCGCCGGUCACCUUGCGAGUUGAAACAUAACCCAAAACAACUCUCAGCAACGGAUAUCUUGGCUCUUGCAACGAUGAAGAACGCAGCGAAAUGCGAUACGUAGUGUGAAUUGCAGAAUUCCGCGAAUCAUCGAGUCUUUGAACGCAAGUUGCGCCCGAGGCUUGUCCAAGGGCAUUUCCGCUAGAGCGUCACCGCGCCCCCCACCGAUCCACUCCCACCGGGAGUCGCGUCGAGUGAAAGUGGCCAUCCCGGCGCGGGCCUUCCAACUCGGAGGGCCUCGAGGGUUGGCUGAAAUGGAGGGAAUCGGGCCGCCGUGGUGACACAGUCCGCGAUCGGGUGAUUUUCGGGCUCCUGCUUGGUUUGUGAGCCCGGGAUUUUUCUAAGUGCGAGGCUGCGUCGCCCAGUUGGUCGUGGUGUUACCUCAUGCAGGUCGAGCGCGCCCCCGCGGCGCGCGUCACGCAUCAGACCUCUAAUCGGAAAAGACUACCCGCUGAGUUUAAGCAUAUCA
rnacentral:rRNA from 1 species